CCGCCGCCGCCGCCGCCGCCGCCGCCGCCGCCGCCGCCGCCGCCGCCGCCGCCGCCGCCGCCGCCGCCGCCGCCGCCGCCGCCGCCGCCGCCGCCGCCGCCGCCGCUACUUCAGCACCAGCGCCCGGACAGCGGCGCCGCCCACGGGCAUGGACGGCGGUAGCGGCAGCGGCAGCAACGAUCCGGCUCCCGGCCCGGGUCUGGAAGGGGAGCAGCGGCCCGAGAGGGAGCCUUUGGCUCCAGACGGCAGGUCCCCGGACAGGUCCCAGAGCAAGGCUGUGGCCCCUGAGGCAAGCCCAGAGAGAAGCGGCGCCCUCCACAGCUGCCCCCUUGAGGACCCUUCCAGUUCUUCGGGACCCCCACCAGGAACUUCCACCCUUCAUCCUGUGGGCCCAUCCAGCCCCUUGGCCCCUGCCCACUUUACCUAUCCCCGGGCACCACAGGAAUACCGGGGGGGCAGCUCCCUUCCAGGGCUUGGGGACCGGGCAGCGCUGUGCUCCCAUGGCUCCAGCCUCAGCCCUUCCCCAGCCCCCUCACAGCAUGAUGGGGCCUGGAAGCCGGCAUCUGUGCAGCACCAUGUGGUCAGCGUCAGGCAGGUACGGGCCUUCCAGAUGCCAAAGAGCUAUUCCCAGCUGAUUGCUGAGUGGCCAGUGGCCGUGCUGCUGCUGUGUCUGGCUGUCAUCCUCCUCUGCACCCUGGCUGGACUGCUGGGAGGCCAGCUACCCGAUUUCUCCAAGCCCUUACUGGGCUUUGAGCCUCGGGACACGGACAUUGGGCGCAAGCUAGUGGUCUGGAGAGCACUGCAGUCCCUCACAGGCCCCAAGAAGCUGCUUUCCCUUUCUCCAGACCUUGAGCUGAACAGCUCAAACCCCCAUACCACUCUGAGCCCCACACCCUGGAGCAGUGCCCAGGAGGGCAUGGUCCGGCCUCGGAGGAUGGUGGAGCCCCUGGAGGCCAGAGGGCAGGAGAGCUUCUUCUGUGGCCCCCCUGAGAAGAGCUAUGCACAGCUGGUGUUCAUGUCCACCUCAGCGGGCAGCCUGUGGAACCUGCACGCCAUCCAUUCCAUGUGUCGCAUGGAACAGGAUCAGGUCCGCUCCCAUACCAGCUUUGGGGCUCUGUGCCAGCGUACAGCAGCCAACGAGUGCUGCCCCAGUUGGUCCCUGGGCAACUAUGUGGCCGUGCUCUCCAAUCGUUCCUCCUGCCUGGACACUACUCAAGCCGACACAGCCCGCACGCUGGCCCUGCUGCGGGCCUGUGCCCUCUACUAUCACCGUGGUGCCCUGGUGCCCUCUUGUCUGGGACCCGGGAAGGACAAGCCCCCGCGCUGUGCCCAGGUUCCCACCAAGUGCUCCCGGAGCAGUGCUGUCUACCAACUCCUGCACUUCCUGCUGGACAGGGACUUUCUGAGUCCCCAGACGGCUGACUACCAGGUGCCCUCCCUCAAGUACAGCCUGCUCUUCCUGCCCACCCCGAAGGGUGCCUCCAUGAUGGGCAUCUACCUGGACCGCCUAGCCGUGCCCUGGGGGCUCUCCGACAACUACACAUCCAUCACUGGCAUGGACCUGGGCCUCAAGCAGGAGCUGCUGAGGCACUACCUGGCCCAGGAUACGGUGUACCCCUUGCUGGCCCUGGCCGCCAUCUUCCUCAGCAUCGCCCUCUACCUGCGCUCCCUCUUCCUCACACUCAUGGUGCUACUGGGGGUGCUGGGCUCCCUGCUGCUUGCCUUUUUUCUUUACCGAGUGGCCUUCCGGAUGGCCUACUUCCCCUUCGUCAAUCUGGCGGCCCUUGUCCUGCUGAGCAGCGUCUGCGCCAACCACACCCUCAUCUUCUUCGACCUCUGGCGCCUCAGCAAGAGCCAGCUGCCCUCCGGGGGGCUGGCGCAGCGCGUGGGCCGCACCAUGCACCACUUCGGCUACCUGCUGCUAGUCUCGGGCCUCACCACGGGCGCGGCUUUCUACGCCAGCUACCUGAGCCGCCUCCCCAACGUCCGCUGCUUCGCGCUCUACAUGGGCACGGCUGUGCUGGCGCACCUGGCGCUCACGCUGGCCUGGCUGCCCUCCUCCGCGGUGCUCCACGAGCGCUACCUAGCGCGCGGCUGUGCGGCCCGGGCGCGCGGCCCGUGGGGCGGCAGCGCGCCCCGGCGACUGGCGCUGGCGCUGCACCGGCGGCUCCGCGGGCUAAGGAGGGCGGCCGCCAGCACCUCGCGCCUGCUCUUCCAGCGCCUUCUGCCCUGCGGCGUCAUCAAGUUCCGCUACAUCUGGAUCUGCUGGUUCGCCGCGCUGGCGGCGGGGGGGGCCUACAUCGCCGGCGUCAGCCCCCGCCUGCGGCUGCCCACGCUGCCGCCGCCCCGCGGCCAGGUCUUCCGGCCCAGCCACCCCUUCGAACGCUUCGACGCUGAGUACCGUCAGCAGUUUCUGUUCGAGCGGCUGCCUCAGGGUGAGGGCGGCCACAUGCCUGUGGUUUUGGUGUGGGGCAUCCUGCCGGUGGACACUGGCGAUCCCCUGGACCCUCGCAGCAACAGCUCUCUGGUGAGUGACCCUGCCUUCUCGGCCAGCGGUCCUGAGGCGCAGCGCUGGCUGCUGGCACUCUGCCAGGGAGCUCGGAAUCAGAGCUUCUUUGGGGCCCAGCCAGAGGGCUGGCCCACGCUGUGCUUCGUGGAGGCCCUCCGGCGCUGGAUGGAGAGCCCCGGUUGCGCCCGCCUGGGGCCUGGCCUCUGCUGUGGCCACUCGGGCUUCCCCUGGGCCCCCCAGCUUUUCCUGCACUGCCUCAAGAUGAUGGCUCUGGAGCAAGGCCCCGAGAGCACCCGGGACCUGGGAGCCCGCUUCAAUACCCAGGGCGGCCUGGCCGCCCUGGUCCUGCAGUUCCAGACCAACUUCCAGUAUAGUCCAGACUACAGCCAGGCCCACCACUUCUACACUGAGGUCAGCUACUGGCUGGCAGCAGAGCUGGGCAGGGCACCCCCCGGCCUGCGCCGGGGUUGGUUCACCAGCCGUCUGGAGCUGUACAGCCUGCAGCACAGCCUGAGCACCGAGCCUGCUGUGGUGCUGGGCCUGGCCCUGGCGCUGGCCUUUGCCACACUGCUGCUGGGCACCUGGAAUGUUCCACUUAGCCUGUUCUCUGUGGCAGCCGUGGCAGGCACCGUGCUGCUCACGGUGGGGCUCCUGGUUCUGCUCGAGUGGCAGCUCAACACUGCUGAGGCCCUCUUUCUCUCUGCCUCUGUGGGCCUCUCGGUCGACUUCACCGUCAACUACUGCAUCUCCUAUCACCUGUGCCCACACCCUGACCGCCUGAGCCGCGUGGCCUUCUCGCUGCGCCAGACCAGCUGCGCCACGGCGGUGGGGGCUGCAGCCCUGUUUGCAGCCGGUGUGCUCAUGCUGCCUGCCUCGGUGUUGCUCUAUCGCAAGCUGGGCAUCGUCCUCAUGAUGGUGAAGUGCGUCAGCUGCGGCUUCGCCAGCUUCUUCUUCCAAUCUCUCUGCUGUUUCUUUGGACCAGAGAAGAACUGUGGACAAAUCCUCUGGCCUUGUGCCCACCUGCCAUGGGACGCCGGAACUGGGGAGCCUGGAGGGGAGAAGGCAGGCCGCCAACGACCAGGGCCAGUGGGAGGGGCGCCUGGGUCCUGUCCAGAGCAGUACGAGUUACAGCCCCUGGCACGACGCCGGAGUCCCAGCUUUGACACUAGUACAGCCACCAGCAAGCUGUCCCACCGGCCCUCAGUGCUCUCUGAGGAUCUACAGCUGCAUGAUGGCCCCUGCUGCUCCCGGCUCCCACCAGCCCCUACCUCCCCAAGGGAGGUGUUCCUGGACCACCAGGCGCUCUUCAGCCAGUGCCCAGCCCUGCAGACCUCCUCCCCCUAUAAGCAGGCUGGUCCCAGCCCCAAAACCCGGGCCAGGCAGGACUCCCAAGGGCAGAAGCCUGAGCCUGUGCAGGCAUCACCAGAAGCCCCAGCCCACUCCCCCAAGCCCAAGCCCCAGGUCGCAGAGCCUCCUGAGUGCCUCUGCUCCUCAGCCAGCACCCUGGAGGGGCUCAGUGUCUCUGACGAGACCUGCCUAAGCACCUCUGAGCCCAGUGCCCGUGUGCCAGAUUCCGUGGGUGCCUCUCCAGAGGACCUGGAUGAAACUGAGCAAACAGUACCUGAGCGGGGCCAGCUGAAUGGGAAGCGGGACACGCUGUGGCUGGCGCUGAGGGAGACCGUGUACGACCCAUCACUGCCCGCCUCCCACCAGAGCAGCUCAUCCUGGAAGGGCCGUGGUGGGCCAGGGGAUGGCAGCCCUGUGGUGCUGCCCAACAGCCAGCCGGAUCUGCCAGACGUUUGGGUGCGCAGGCCCAGCACCCACACUUCAGGCUACAGCAGCUGAGGGGGGCCCCGAGAGGCGGGACUGGGGCCCAGAGCCUGUCGGGGGUGACAAGGCAGGGGCAGCAGCAGGCUAGAGCCUGUUGGUGUUUCCUCACAUCAGCGGGGAGGGGUCUCACUCUCCAGCUGUGGAUUUUGAACCCUGCCAGAUGAUCCAGCCUUGGUAGGGGCUUCUGCUUCCUCCCCACAUCUAGAGGAUUCAGUGGGGGGUGCGGGGGGGUGGUCUUUGGAGUGAAACGCCAAGCUCUCCUAGUGACCUGCUAAGGGCUCGUCUGCCCCACAGUGCCAACCAGGACCCACCCUCUGGAAUGGGGAAGGCCACAGUCGUAGCUCCGUAUAUCAGGGGAGGCUGACCUGGCCCCCAUGCCAAGUGACAAGAAGGUCAGUGGGACUAAGGACCCAGCCAGGGCACCUCACCAACCAAAAGAGCCCUGGGAAGCCUCAGCAGCCUCCUGGACCUCACACCUUUCAGAGGCUUUUUAUCAGGACACUUCCUUCUCUUUGGGGAUCCUCUCUGGGCCAGAAUUGGGCUGGGCCCUCUGUCCUUAACUACCUGUGUCCCUCACAGUCCUCAGUCUGACCAGGAAUUUGUCAAGACCAGGCAGAGAUGGCUGCUGGCAGUGAAGUGGAGGAGGAGGAAUGGUCGGCCUCUGAGCACCCCUAAAUUGCUGACGGUCCCUCAUGGGGAGCUGCAUUGACAUGGAAGGGUCCUCUCCCCUGUUAACAACAAUAAGAAUCCUUUACGUCCUGCAUCUUUUAGUUUGCAGAACACUUCUACACCCAUCGUGUCCUGGGAAUCUCACCACUUCUGUAUGGGGUAGCCUACAGUUGGUCAGGUCCUUUUGCCGCCAGUUUACAGGUAAAGACAUUGAGACUAGGUAAGGUUAAGUGAUUUACACAAAGUCGCGUAGAUAGUAAAUGGCAGAACAGGCUUCCUGACUCAUUCCACCACAACUGCCACUCUCCUCCUGUCUACCUGCCCCAGGGACGUUGGCCUGUGGCUGUCUUGAUCUUUGGUCUCUGACAAUCUCUAACAACCUGCCUUCGCAGAUGCCUCUCGGUAAACUCCCCUCCUUCCUCGCUUUAGGCCUCCAUCUCCAGAAAGAGCUACGUUCUGAGCAAGCCUGGAGUUCCUCCCCAUCUCCCUCGUGCUUCCCUCCAGCUCCAGCUGAGAAGCCUACCAUCCAUAAGGCAUCCUGGCUGUUCUGAUUCCCAGGUUCAGGGUCAAGAGGAGGAGGCCUCUUCAGUGGCCACAAUGUGUGGAGAGUCCCUGCCAGGAGAUGCACUGAGGGCAGUAGAGGCUGAGAAGAGUUCAAUUAAGGCAGGAACUCAGGGCUGCCCUCUUUAGGAGUGUGUAAGUCUGAAGCUGUUUUGCAGGUCAAGGUCCCAGCUUCCUAAGGACAGGUCUCUCUAGGGGCACUCAGCAGACCAAAGGCUGACUGCCCCCUCCCCAAAGCAAAGGUCUCUCUGGAAGGUAUUAUCCCACAUGAGAGCUCACGACACCUGGAGCUUCAGCAAGUUUACUGAACACCAACUCUGCCUAUGGCACUACAUGGGGACAGAGGCAAGGAGGGAAAAUCAGACAUCUGCCCUAAGGAGCUCACUCUCUAGCUGGGGAAACAGCUCACACACACAUGCGGGCAUCGAUGGGUCACUGAUAGUAGCAUGCAGCACAUGCUGAGGGCCAUAGGCCUGUCACCAUGACUAUUGCUGGAGCUCAAGUACCCAGGAAUGGUAACCAGGAAGGCUUCCUGGAGGAGGAACGACUUGAGCUGGGCUUUAGAAGUCCAAGUAUCUCAAACUGGAAGGGACCUUAACAAUCAUUUAUUCCAGCAGUUUUCAAACUUUGGAGCCUCAGGAUCCUUUCUUCAAAGAAUCCUUGUGUGGAAACAGUAUAUAAAGCAGAUGAAAAGCAGCCACUCUGGUGGGUGCUGGGGGUGGGGGAGUACAGAGCCAGGUCAGCCUCCCUUUCUACUGGGCCUCUCAGGGGACCCUGGGGAACCCCUCAAGCUCCUGGUGGCUCUGAAGAAUGUGAUGCGAAACCACUGAUGCAGGUCAUUUUAUGGAUGAGUAGCACAGAGAGGAAGGACUUUUCUAGGGCCAAAGAGACAGUCUGUGGCAGAGCUGGAGGCAAAUCAGGGGGUGUUUGGGUUUUUUUUCCUAUAUUGUUGAGCCCUACCUCCCACUCCGAGUAACCCAUAAGAAGUGAGGCCAGAACCCCAAUGAAAAUAUGGGCGUUGUGGAAGAGACAGAAGACCGUGGGCAGAAAUGACCGGUUAUGUCGGCUCCUUUGCAAGAUAAUGAUACCCAUUUGACUCCCGACACCAGGAAGGAGAGACAGUGACUAGGACUAACUUGGACCAUCUCCCUGGAGGUCCGCUGAGACCUCUCUCUCUUCAUGUCCGAGUAGAAUUCAGCCUCUCUGGCCUGGCUUCUCUGCACCAUGGACUAUAUCCUUCUGUUAUCACACAGCCAGGCUGAGAGAGCUCUGGUCUCGUCUGGGACCAUCAGCCAGAGGGAGGGCAAGGUGAGCCCUACUUACUGAGCACAAGCAGAAGUCUGGCCUUGACUCAACAGCGAGUCCAGCGUCUUAGUGGUCUCUCAAUGACGCACCGCGGCUCUUCUGCCCUGUGUUGUAGGAAGGCAGCAGGGCCCUGGACGAAAAGGACCUGCUCCUCUGCGCCCUCUUUCUUGUCUUGCAGGGGGAGACGUUGAUGUCUGGGACUGGAGCUUCAGGAAUCUGGCCUGAACACAACCAGUGAAACGUUCGAGAGAGCAUGAAGUGGUGGCUGGGGUGGGCAUCAGGGAUCUGGGCACAACUGAGGGCCCUCCGCAGGGUCCCCUUCUGGCAGGCUGUGGCCACACAACCCUUCAGGAAGGCAGAUGAGUCAGAGCAGCCGAGACACCCACUGGAUUUGUUCUUUACACCAGCGGGCCCAAAGGACUGGAAGAACCCAGUGGGACAACAGUAACUCAAGGUGUAGUGGUGUUUAUGCUUAAGAGAAGAAGCUGUAACUCAAUUCACUGGGAAGAUGAGAAACAAAAGAAAGCCACUGUGUGCUGUGUAAAUGGCUGGCUGUCCCAAGCCACCUUGCACUGAAGAGCCCUGGAAGGACCUUGAUAAACUUGUUAUCAUGAGGCCUCUGUGUGGUUAUUCAUGUUAGACCUUAACAUAGGGAAAAGAUCAACAUUUUACCAAGUUCACAGACAUCAAACAAGAGCUUCAGGAUUGCUAACAAAUAUCACUCAGCUGGGCAGACUGACGUAGAUCUGAAUCCAUGACCUCCAACCUCACCUGCAGUCUCCGCCCUGCCUAGCUAGCUUCCAUUCCAGUUACUAGUUUCCAUUCUUUGCAAUGAUCAUUUCAUACUUUCUCUACCUGCUUCAGACAUCAGAUGCCCUUCACCUCCCUGCACCCCGACUUUCAGUAGACAAAAAACUCAUUAUUCAUGAGGAAACCUGGAGGCAUCAGAGUGAAAUGUGCUCACCUUCAAGGCACCAAGUCCCCAACUCACCUACCGUGCUCCUACUGGCUUCUCAACCCAUCCCUUGUGUUACAAAGAAAGAAGCAGUAAUGGCCCCAGCAAUGGCUUCACACGCUUUGCAUGAGAGGCCUUCAACUAGGGCUUGCAUUCCCACAGAGACAUGAACACUUUCUAGAAGGUAGGUGGGCACAGAUAGUUUUAAGGGAAUCAGUUUCAAGAGCUUCCUUCUUCAUAAUUUUCCUCUCCUUAUAUUCAUCAGCCUAAGAAGGAGCCUUAGGUCUGCAAGUUCGCCUCCCCAACCUCCGCUUUCCCAGUUGACCCUUCCUUCAUUCUGACUCCUACUCUGGCAUCUCCCUCUGCAGUAUUUUCUGAAAAACAAAUAAAAGGACUACUUGAGAAUGCUCUGCUUGAGGAAGUCCUUGAGAGAGCAAAGCCAAGAACAUACAAACAUUAUUAUAACUGUAUUCCAUAUGUUCACAUAGCUAAGUAGAGACUUAGAAAAAAAUAUAUAUAUAUAUAUAUUUUAAAUACCCAAAUUGAAUUUGUAGAGAUGAAAACUAAAAUGUCUGAUUAAAAAAAAGAAAAAUCCCUGGAUGGGAUCAACGGUUUAGACGUUUUAGAGAAAAAAAAAGGAUUAGUGGACUUGAAGACAUAGCAAUAGAUAUUAUCCAAAAUGAAACACCAAGAGAAGAAAAAAAGUUUAGAAAUGAAUAAA